rnacentral:lncRNA from 1 species
CCCACCAGUAGUACAUUUGAAUAUGUUGAUUAACAUACCAAUUCUAGAAAUUUGAUUUGAGUAUCACAAACUAUUCAAAACCCAAAUUGAAAUGCUACCCACAAUCCAUAAAGCUUCAAUUUCUCAAUAUUUUUUUGUGAUUGGUAAAAUGAUUAAUCAGUAAUCUAUUAAAAAAGGCAAAAACAAGUUCUCAGAGUUCCAUCAAAUUCAUUCGAAGAACUGUUACUGAGAAUUACGAUUUUCAAGCGAGUUUCCAAUCCUAGAGCUCAUUGAUCUCCUAGGUUGAAACUACUGAAACAAAAUCAAAGUCCAACUGUAUUUUCCAUGGCCUCCUCGGUCGUCACUAUCCAUAAUCCUCCGGUUUCCUUAACCUUUACAGCCGCAACGAUGGCACCACCGCCGUGAUCAUAGCCUUUAAAUCAAACAACCCAGAAAACAAGAAAAUAUAUCAUAUAUGGGAGUGAGUUGGAAGAAAAAGAAAUGAAGAGGUAGAAGAUGAUGACGGAGCAUUGGUAGAAGAUGGUAGAAGAUGGGAGGGUUCUAGGAUUUAAAUGAAUAAUUAAAGGUAAAUAAUAAAGUAUAAGAAUAUUGUUACUAGAGUUAACCAUAGUUAUUCAUGUUUAUCAGUUAUUACAAAUGACAGCUUUUUCUACGGUAGUGUUAUGACCACCAAAAAUGGUGGUGGUUGGCAAAUUUGAAUCCCCUUUCUAAAUAAUAACAAAGUGUAACAUUUUAAAAAGAAAUGUUGAACUAAUUUAAAAAGUUGGCACUAGAGGUUAAACUAGUUGGUUAUGAAUAUGUUUUGUAAAAUUAAAGAUAACAAUGGGUUCUGGGUGGAUUCUUUAGGUUUCAUUUCACGAUUUGUUUUUAGUUAUACGGUAUAAGAAUUUGGCAAUAUAACAUGAUUCUACGUUCCAAUAAUAGUUGCCAUGUAAAGCAACUUAUAUACACCAUUACUAUAGCAAUCAAUGUUGUUAUGUUUGCUGUGAUAAAAGAGAAAAUAUAUAUAUAUAUAUAUGGCCGUUCUGAGACGGAUGUCUGCACUGCCCUUAAAGUGUAGACGUCUCUCCGUUUUCCACCGUCAGGCGCCGACGACGCCUUUUCUUCUUGCCAGAGGACAGCAGACCUUGAUACUGAGUUUCCUCUUGCUGGUGAAAAACUGGUCUAAUAUAUAUAUAUAUAUAUAUAUUCCAGACUAAUUUUUCUUCUCUUCUUGUUUUCUAAUGAAACCUGGUUGCAAUUCAUGACUGUAUAAGAAUAUUGUCACUAGAGUUAACCAUAAUUAGUUAUGUUUAUCAGUUAUCACAAAUGACAGCUUUUUCUAAGGUCGUGCUAUGACCACCAAAACUGGUGGUGGUUGGCAAAUUUGAAUCCCCUUUCUAAAUAAUAACAAAGUGUAACAUUUUAAAAAGAAAUGUUGCACUAAUUUAAAAAGUUGGCACUAGAGGUUAAACUAGUUGGUUAUGAAUACAUUUUUGUAAAAUUAAAAAUAACAAUGGGUUCUGGGUGGAUUCUUUAGGGUUCAUUUCACGAUUUGUUUUUAGUUAUACGGUAUAACAAUUUGGCAAUAUAACAUGGUUCUAUGUUCCAAUAAUAGUUGCCAUGUAAGCAACUUAUACACACCAUUACUAUAGCAAUCAAUGUUGUUAUGUUUGCUUUGAUAAAAGAGAAAAUAUAUAUAUAGGGCCGUUCUGAGACGGAUGUCUGCACUGCCCAUAAAGUGCGGACAUCUCUCCGUUUUCCACCAUCAGGCGCUGAUGACGCCUUUUCUUCUUGCCAGAGGACAGCAUACCAUGAUACUGAGUUUCCUCUUGCUGGUGAAAAUCUGGUCUAAUAUAUAUAUAUAUAUAUAUAUCUAUAUAUAUAUAUAUUCCAGACUAAUUUUUCUUCUCUUCUUGUUUUCUAAUGAAACCUGGUUGCAAUUCAUGACUGUAUAAGAAUAUUGUUACUAGAGUUAACCAUAGUUAGUUAUGUUUAUCAGUUGUCACAAAUGACAGCUUUUUCUAAGGUCGUGCUAUAACCACCAAAACUGGUGGUGGUUGGCAAAUUUGAAUCCCCUUUCUAAAUAAUAACAAAGUGUAACAUUUUAAAAAGAAAUGUUGCACUAAUUUAAAAAGUUGGCACUAGAGGUUAAACUAGUUGGUUAUGAAUACGUUUUUGUAAAAUUGAAGAUAACAAUGGGUUCUGGGUGGAUUCUUGAGGUUUCAUUUCACGAUUUGUUUUUAGUUAUACGGUAUAACAAUUUGGCAAUAUAACAUGGUUCUAUGUUCCAAUAAUAGUUGCCAUGUAAGCAACUUAUACACACCAUUACUAUAGCAAUCAAUGUUGUUAUGUUUGCUUUGAUAAAAGAGAAAAUAUAUAUAUAGGGCCGUUCUGAGACGGAUGUCUGCACUGCCCAUAAAGUGCGGACGUCUCUCCGUUUUCCCAUAUCAGGCGCUGACGACGUCUUUUCUUCUUGCCAGAGGACAGCAGACCUUGAUACUGAGUUUCCUCUUGCUGGUNNNNN